UAUUAGUUUGAUUCUGGCUAUAAUUUCCUUUGUUAGGUAGUUGCGUAUGUAAGUAGGUGCUUAAACUUCGUUAUUUAUUAAAUUAGGGUUAUUAUAUCUCAGCGUAAAGAUUUGGGACAUGGGCGAUAGCUUGAACUAGAGAACUUUUUAAUUGAGGCUAAACUUGUGCCAGCAGCCGCGGUUAGACUGAUUAAAUAAGAGGAGGUUUUAGGUGUGGGGUAAGGUGAUUGUUUAUUGAUUGAUGUGUUAUUUUAAAAAUAAAAAAGUGAAAUUUAAUAUUUGUGUAGAAUAGAGCAUUUCGUUUAACAUUGAAGCCCGUAAGAGAUAGGGUUAAAAUAGGAUUAGAUACCCUGCUAUACUAUUUUGAAAUUAAUAAGCUCCUGGGUAGUAAUAGUUACUGUCUUGAAACCCAAAGAACUUGGCGGUAUCACAUUCUUCUUAGAGGAACCUGCUUCAUAAACGAUAAUCCCCGAAAUACCUUACUUUUUUUCGUGUAUCAGUUUGUAUACCGCCAUUAUUAGAUUGUUUCGAGAGAAAACUAUUGGAAUUAUUUAUUGAAUGUAUAUAUUAGGUCAAGGUGCAGCUUAUAAAAAAGUGUAAGUGGGUUACAGUUAAUUAAGUUAUUGGCUAAAAGGGUGAAAUACUUUUAAAAAUUGGAUUUAAUUGUAAUAUUAUUUUAUUAAGGUAAUUUGAUUUUAGCUCUGUGAUAUGUACACAUCGCCCGUCGCUCUCAUCUUAAAAUGAGAUAAGUCGUAACAUAGUAGGGGUGCCGGAAGGGGCCCCUGGAAUUUU
rnacentral:ncRNA from 1 species